rnacentral:rRNA from 1 species
GACGAACGCUGGCGGCAGGCUUAACACAUGCAAGUCGAGGGGCAUCACGAGGUAGCAAUACUUUGGUGGCGACCGGCGCACGGGUGAGUAACGCGUAUGCAACCUACCCUGUACAGGGGGAUAGCCCGGAGAAAUUCGGAUUAAUACCCCAUAAUGAUAUUUUAUGGCAUCAUAAAAUAUUUAAAGCUCAGGCGGUACGGGAUGGGCAUGCGUAACAUUAGCUAGUUGGUAGGGUAAUGGCCUACCAAGGCGACGAUGUUUAGGGGUCCUGAGAGGGUGAUCCCCCACACUGGUACUGAGACACGGACCAGACUCCUACGGGAGGCAGCAGUGAGGAAUAUUGGUCAAUGGGCGCGAGCCUGAACCAGCCAUCCCGCGUGAAGGAAGACUGCCCUAUGGGUUGUAAACUUCUUUUCCAGGGGAAUAAAAUCUCGAACGAGUUCGGGACUGAAGGUACCCUGGGAAUAAGCAUCGGCUAACUCCGUGCCAGCCGCCGCCGUAA